AACGUAGGAGACAAACGUUAUCCGGAGUUACUGGGCGUAAAGGGCGUGUAGGCGGUUAGUUAAGUCUGGCGUGAAAGCUCUCGGCUAAACCGGGAGAGGUCGUUGGAUACUGGCUGACUAGAGGACGGUAGAGGCGUGUGGAAUUCCGGUGUAGCGGUGAAAUGCGUAGAUAUCGGAAGGAACAUCAGUGGCGAAAGCGGCUUCCUGGACCAGAACUGACGAUCAGGCUCGAAAGCGUGGGGAGCAAACAGG
rnacentral:rRNA from 1 species